rnacentral:rRNA from 1 species
UACAUGGGGUGCAAACGUUGCUCGGAAUUAUUGGGCGUAAAGCGCGCGUAGGCGGUUACUUAUGUCGGAUGUGAAAGCCCUCGGCUUAACUGAGGACGUGCGGGAGAUACUGAAGGGCUUGAGUCCGGAAGAGGGUGGUGGAAUUCCCAGUGUAGCGGUGAAAUGCGUAGAUAUCGGGAGGAACACCAGUGGCGAAGGCGGUUGCCUGGAGCUUUGCUGACGCUGAGGCGCGAAAGCGUGGGGAGCGAUCCGG